AUUGAACGCUGGCGGCAGGCCUAACACAUGCAAGUCGAGCGGAUGAAGGGAGCUUGCUCCUGGAUUCAGCGGCGGACGGGUGAGUAAUGCCUAGGAAUCUGCCUGGUAGUGGGGGAUAACGUCCGGAAACGGGCGCUAAUACCGCAUACGUCCUGAGGGAGAAAGUGGGGGACCUUCGGACCUCACGCUAUCAGAUGAGCCUAGGUCGGAUUAGCUAGUUGGUGGGGUAAAGGCCUACCAAGGCGACGAUCCGUAACUGGUCUGAGAGGAUGAUCAGUCACACUGGAACUGAGACACGGUCCAGACUCCUACGGGAGGCAGCAGUGGGGAAUAUUGGACAAUGGGCGAAAGCCUGAUCCGGCCAUGCCGCGUGUGUGAAGAAGGUCUUCGGAUUGUAAAGCACUUUAAGUUGGGAGGAAGGGCAGUAAGUUAAUACCUUGCUGUUUUGACGUUACCAACAGAAUAAGCACCGGCUAACUUCGUG
rnacentral:rRNA from 1 species